GGAAAAUUUAUGAUUUAUGUCCUUAUUUUGGAAAAAAUAAAGGUUUUAAAGUAAUGAGCUAAGCAUUUAAUUUAAUGUGAUAAAAAAGAAUAAGUGAAUAAGCCUAAAAUAAAUACAAGGUUUGAAAUCAUGAAGAUAAAAGAAAUUAAUGGAUAGAAAAUAAAUAUAUGAUGCAAAGAUGAACUAAGUUGCUUUCUUGAAAGCACUAAUAAGUUGGGACAAUGUAGCAAGUCUAAUUAGAAAAACCUAGAGAGUUUAUAAAUAAACAAUAUUGUGAUGUAAAAGGGUCAGAACCACACAUGAUGCACAUAUUUAAAAGAGGAUGUUACCAGUUUAUUCCAAUAACUUUGCAAUCUUAAUGAAAUGGGUAAAUUCUAGAAAACUUUAACCUGCCAAAGUUGUUCAAAAAGAAUAAGCCAGACGACUUUACCAACUUUACCAAACAUUUAUAACAAGGUUUAAGGAAUACAUAAUUUUAAUAUUGCACAUAUUAUUCAUAGUGUAGAAACAGAAGGAAUGCUCCUUAAAUCCUGGCAUGAGGGUGGCAUAAUCUUGAUAUCAAAAUCUGAGAAGAUUGAAUGAAGAAGGAAAAUAGCAGGCCAUUAGCUCAUGAACACAAAUAUGAAGAGGAAAAAAAAAUUAGCAAACUGAAUCCGUGACUUGUGACAAUAUACAUUAUGACCAAAUUGAGUGGAUCCUCAAAAUGCAUGGUUGGUUUAAAGUUAGAAAAGCAAUUCAUAGAAUUAACAACUGCAUUUCUAAGAGACAUGGCUAAAAGGAGAUGAAAAACACAAAAUGGUUUUAAUUGAAGAUCAUUUAAGAAACGUUGAAGAAGGAUUAAUGGAACUCAUGAGGGGCAGUGGGAAACUGGUGACCAGCAGUAGCCUGAAGUGGCAAGGAGAGGACAUGCCUAGUGAGAGAUGGAGUAAUGGAAGAGGAUUUAACCACAGUAUUUGUAAACCAUAGAGGAAUGCAACUUCUGCCAGAGCCAUAGCAAGUUAGAACUGUGACAAGCACUGUCAAAACUGUGACCAAUGGGGAGUACCACCCUCUCGUCUCCUGCUAGUGCCUCCGACUUGUUAGCUAUCAUGGGAAGCCAGGGGCAAGGGAGCUUGGAGAUUAAGCAGUAAAGAUCAGCCUCCUAGAGAACAGAGGAGAAAAGGGCAGAGAAGGAAUUUGGGGCAUGCACUUUGAGAAUAGCCAGCUAAACCGUAUGGCCAGAUGUAAGAAGAAAAGUUAUAUUAUUAUCUAUUUGGCAAACAUUUUCUGCAAAGGGCUAACUGAAUAGUAAAUAUUUUCAGCUUUGCAGCCCAUAGAGUCUCUGUUGGAACUACACAAUUCUGCCUACAAUUGUAGUGUGAAAGCAGCCAUAUAUGUGAAACAAAUGAGUUGUGGCUAUUUUCCAAUAAAAUUUUAUUUACAAAAAAAAAAUUGAGGGCUGGAUUUGGUUUGUGGGGAUAGUAGUUCAUAGAUCCUUGAUCUAGUAGAUGCAGAAGUAUCUGCUGAAUAUUAAUAUUCAUUUGAAAUAAAAUCUUAGCAAACUCAGAAGGACAUUUCCUUAUCCUGAUAAAGUUUAUGUUAUUAAGAAAAAACCCUAUAGUAAGCAUUUGUUCUUAAUGAAGAAAACAUUUUAAAGUAUUCUCUUUAAGAUCAUGAACAAGACAAGUAUCACUGUUAUUGGAGGUUCUAGCCAGCAUAUUAAGGCAAGAAAAAAGUAAGAAAAGUCAUAAGAUUGGAAAGAAAGCUGAUCCUAUUUGCAAUAGAAAUAAUCAUCCACAUAAAGAACUAAAUGAAGAAUAAAAAGAACCUAAUAAAAAAUGGGCAAAGGUGUUGAAUAGGUCUCUUCAUAGAAGAGAAAAGUGGCCCCUGCAAAUAUCUUUUGUUGGCCCUUAUACACCAACUUUUCAUUCUUCUUCACCCUGUGCUCUGCCCAGGAUCCUGGCCUAAGCAGAGGCCCCCAUUCCCUGACUUCCAGCUGGAUUUGGCCAAUGCGUAUUCCUGGAAGAAGAUCAGCAGGAGGGAGGAGAAUGAAAUUGAGCAUGGAUGAAGUGAGAAACACAACAGGGACAGAAAAAUCAAUUUACAAAGGAAGGUGACACAUGAGCAAAGUUUUGAAGAAAGCGAGAAAAGGAGCCAUGUAUACACCUGGAGGAAGGGCAUUCCAGAGUGAGAGAGACAGCAAAUGCAAAGACAAUCACUCUGGCAGCUGGGAUGGAAAUGGACUGAGAAGGAGUGAUGGAGGACUGACGAGGAGGCUGCUGUGGUAUUUCAGGACAAGACUCAGAAAUUUCCUUGGACUAUCUUCUAUUCCACCUCACCAACUUGAAGUUGUUAGCUUUAAUUCUAAAUCUGCCUUUGAAUUCCUAUCAGUGAAUAAUAGAAUCUAAAAGUCUUAGCGUCAUAUGUAAUUUUACUAAGAUACCUAAAUUGUCAAGGUCACUGGAUAUAGGCGCUAACUGAAGUAUUUCAGUUCUCUCAGAGGAGGAAGCUGUGUUUAGCUCCAGCGGUGAAGACUUUUAUUCCAAUUGUGCCGAAUUCCUGGAAGGUCACGUGUAACUAGGGAAGACAGUGGGCACUGGAGGCAGCAAAAAAGCAGAGAGGCUCUCUGGAACUGGCAUCCUGGAGCAGCUCUUCAUUUCAGUGGCUUUAUGAAAAGGUCAUUUUCACCAUGACAAGCACUGAUACACGAAUAGGAGCGACAGAAAAUUUACUGAAGACAAAUGAAGCCAGAUAAAAGGCAGGGGACGAGAAUUAGAUCACAUAGACUGGCAAGAUCUUGAAUGAAGUCUGGCGAUACGUAUUUAGAAAAUCCUCGCUGGGUGACCUGGAUAUGCAUCUCUGUUGAGUAUCAACCACUACAGUGAUAUAAAGAACCUUUGAACUAGAAUCUUAAUGAGUUCAAGUAUCUUAUUUCUUAUCUGCAAAAUGAAGAUUUGGGAUAGAUUUCUGGAGUCUUUUUCAUCUGGAAAGGUAUUCACUCAUUUUUUUUUUUAUUCGGAAAAGCCUGGGUUUACUCCAGCAAUUAGGAACUAUCCUCCUCUCUUUGAUUUCUUGUUGUCCACACCUUCUGGCUCCUCUUCAAAAAGGCAGGUGGUAAGAAAGCCACAGUUGGAAAGGGACUAUGAAGCUACUGUUGGAGUGGAGUAAUUCCUGGGCAUCUCUGCAGGCUCAGUCCCAGCUGGGUCCUUAUUACAAAAUAGCAAAAGUUACUCAAAGGACAAUUUGGAAGAUACCAGCUACAGAAUUUACUUGGGCUCCAAAACCUGUCUGGUGUCUGAAGUUUUUGGACUCCUGGCUUUACUUUUCUUUGCUAUAACUUGUAUUUUUCCCUUGUAAUUCCUAUUUUUCUUUCUUAUAAUUGGUAUUUCUUAUCUUCACCAAGUCUACAUACAUGUCAUUAUUUCUCUACCAAAAACUG